GACGAACGCUGGCGGCGUGCUUAACACAUGCAAGUCGAACGGAAAGGCCCUGCUUUUGUGGGGUGCUCGAGUGGCGAACGGGUGAGUAACACGUGAGUAACCUGCCCUUGACUUUGGGAUAACUUCAGGAAACUGGGGCUAAUACCGGAUAGGAGCUCCUGCUGCAUGGUGGGGGUUGGAAAGUUUCGGCGGUUGGGGAUGGACUCGCGGCUUAUCAGCUUGUUGGUGGGGUAGUGGCUUACCAAGGCUUUGACGGGUAGCCGGCCUGAGAGGGUGACCGGCCACAUUGGGAUUGAGAUACGGCCCAGACUCCUACGGGAGGCAGCAGUGGGGAAUAUUGCACAAUGGGCGGAAGCCUGGUGCAGCAACGCUGCGUGCGGGAUGACGGCCUUCGGGUUGUAAACCGCUUUCGCCUGUGACGAAGCGUGAGUGACGGUAAUGGGUAAAGAAGCACCGGCUAACUACGUG
rnacentral:rRNA from 1 species